rnacentral:misc_RNA from 1 species
GCAAACUUGGUCAUUUAGAGGAAGUAAAAGUCGUAACAAGGUUUCCGUAGGUGAACCUGCGGAAGGAUCAUUAUCGUAUUCUCCGGCGGGGUGACCGAGCCCCGCUCCGGCCCCAAACGGCCGUGCAGCGGGUUCGACUCCCUGUCCAAACCUUUGCAAACCCCUCUGUGCACCUUUAGCGGUGGAGGGCGUCGGGGCGAGAGCCCCGUGCCCGAGGCCGUAAAAACAAACCCCAAACUCUUUAAAGAAAGUCAUGCGGCCUCAGCGUCGCCUAAAACACAUAACAACUUUCAACAACGGAUCUCUUGGCUCUCGCAUCGAUGAAGAACGCAGC